GUGCUCGCUUUGGCAGCACAUAUGCUAAAAUUGGAAUGAUACGGAGAAGAUUAACAUGGCUUCUACACGAGGAUGACACGCAAAUUCAUGAAGCGUUCUAUGUUUGG